rnacentral:rRNA from 1 species
CGUCUAUAUACGUAUAGCAUAUCAAUAAGCGGAGGAAAAGAAACUAACAAGGAUUCCCUUAGUAACGGCGAGUGAAGCGGGAAGAGCUCAAAUUUGAAAUCUUCAAGGUUCUACCUUGACGAAUUGUAGUUUAUAGAAGUGUUUUCUGUUAGAUGGAGUAGCAAAAGUUCCUUGGAAUAGGACAUCAUAGAGGGUGAGAAUCCCGUAUUUGGUCAUUCCUCCUAGCGUUGUGAUACACUUUCAACGAGUCGGAUUGUUUGGGAAUGCAGUCCAAAAUGGGUGGUAAAUUUCAUCUAAAGCUAAAUAUUGGCGAGAGACCGAUAGCGAACAAGUACCGUGAGGGAAGGAUGAAAAGAACUUUGAAAAGAGAGUUAAACAGUACGUGAAAUUGUCAGAAGGGAAGCGUUUGACACCAGUGUUGUUUUUCCGAAAAUCAAUUACGAAUGUUUUAUUUUUGAGGAGUUAUGACUUCAUCGGCUUGCUCCUUUCUUUAUGAAACUUUCUUAAUGCACUUUUCGGUUAACAAGUCAACAUCAAUUUCUUUUGUUGUAAAAGGGUAUGAGGAAGGUGGCUUUCUUUUCGGAGAAAGUGUUUAUAGCCUUGUGCCUCUGCAAUCGGAGAGAUUGAGGUCUGCAGCGUAGAUCCUUCGGGGUUAGAUACAUUUGUGCUAAGUUAUAGCUUUCAUAGACAACUUGUUGACUAUGAUUAGUCAUUGUAGCUUACUCGCUUAUGCUAUUUUACCUACGCUUAGGAUGUUGACUGAUAUGUAGUCGUA